GACCAAUUGAUCACUCGGAGCA
rnacentral:siRNA from 1 species